rnacentral:rRNA from 1 species
AAGAAUUUGGCGGUAAUUUAGUCUUGGUUAGAGGAACCUGUUUUAGAAUUAUCGAUAAACCACGUAAGAUCUUACUUAUUUUAAUUAGUUUGUAUACCAUCAUUGUUAGAUAAUUUUUAAAGAAUAUUGAUUAUUGGGAUUAAUUAUAUUAAAUAAAUUAGAUCCAGGUGCAGCUUAUAAAUAAGUUAAAAUGGGUUACAAUAAUACUUAUUUAUUACGGAAUAAAUUAAUAAUGGAAUUUAAAGAAGGAGGAUUUAAUUGUAAUAUAAGAUUUAAUAAGGUUGUAUGAUAAAAGCUCUAAAUUAUGUACACAUCGC